CCCGGGCCCCCAACAGGGGCAGAGACUUGCCUUGCUUCUAUACUCUGGGCACUGCUGUUAACAAGUCCGGGUGCCCCCUAUGUCUCCUGGCUGGCCACCCAACUUGGGAAGACACCUGCCCUGAGCGGGAGUCCACACACAGGAAAGCUCAACUCUGACCACACCGGACUGAGGAGGCUGACCCAGUGAAAAGGACCCCAAAUCUGCUACCUGUGGACCUCUCGAAAAGAAAGGGAUGUGGCAAAAUACUGGAAGGACUGUGAGGGGAGCACACAGAGGGAUGCAUGAAACUCUCCAGCGUGGCUCGAGAAGAUGGCUUUGCGAAGCCACAGACUGCGUGGGGAGAACCCACCAAGGAGCAAGAAGGGAUCCUAAUGGAUCACCAAGUUUGAGCUGAUUUUCUUCAAUCUCCUGGUGAAUCACCCAAACUGACCCCCGAGGAUAGAAAAAGUAACAAUGAGCAGACGGGGAAAGCUCUCAAGGGAGCCAACGGUCCCUGGAACAAGUGAGCGACACAGGCACACCCUGGAGGGAAGGCCCCCUGGGGCGGCGCAUGUGGCUCCCCAGCACAAGAAGGAGCAAACCGCUUCCCCGAUCUUGACGUGAGGCCGGCAUC